rnacentral:rRNA from 1 species
GACGAACGCUGGCGGCGUGCUUAACACAUGCAAGUCGAACGGAAAGGCCCCUUUGGGGGUACUCGAGUGGCGAACGGGUGAGUAACACGUGAGUAACCUGCCCUUGACUUCGGGAUAACUUCAGGAAACUGGGGCUAAUACCGGAUAGGAAUCCUUGCUGCAUGGUGGGGGUUGGAAAGCUUCGGCGGUUUUGGAUGGACUCGCGGCUUAUCAGCUUGUUGGUGGGGUAGUGGCUUACCAAGGCUUUGACGGGUAGCCGGCCUGAGAGGGCGACCGGCCACAUUGGGACUGAGAGACGGCCCAGACUCCGACGGGAGGCAGCAGUGGGGAAGAUUGAACAAUGGGCGGAAGCCUGAUGCAGAAACGCCGCGGGCGGGAUGACGGCCUUCGGGUUGUAAACCGCUUUCAGCAGGGGCGAAGCUUGUGGUGACGGUACCUGCAGAAGAAGCACCGGCUAACUACGUG